AUUGAACGCUGGCGGCAUGCUUUACACAUGCAAGUCGAACGGCAGCGCGGGCUUCGGCCUGGCGGCGAGUGGCGAACGGGUGAGUAAUGCAUCGGAACGUGCCCAGUAGUGGGGGAUAGCCCGGCGAAAGCCGGAUUAAUACCGCAUACGACCUGAGGGUGACAGCGGGGGACCGAAAGGCCUCGCGCUAUUGGAGCGGACGAUGUCGGAUUCGCUAGUUGGUGGGGUAAAGGCUUACCAAGGCGACGAUCCGCAGCUGGUCUGAGAGGACGACCAGCCACACUGGGACUGAGACACGGCCCAGACUCCUACGGUGGGCAGCAGUGGGGAAUUUUGGGCAAUGGGGGCAACCCUGAUCCAGCCAUGCCGCGGGCGGGAAGAAGGCCUUCGGGUUGUAAACCGCUUUUGUUCGGGAAGAAAUCCUCUGGGCUAAUACCCCGGGGGGAUGACGGUACCGGAAGAAUAAGCACCGGCUAACUACGUG
rnacentral:rRNA from 1 species